rnacentral:rRNA from 1 species
AGCAGCCGCGGUAAUUCCAGCUCCAAUAGCGUAUAUUAAAGUUGCUGCAGUUAAAAAGCUCGUAGUUGAAUUUCGGGACCAAUAUGUCGGUCGUGCCUCGGUACGUACUGGCAUCGUUGGUUUCUCCUUUCUGAAGAACCAUGAUGUCAUUUAUUUGGUGUCGUGGGGAAUCAGGACUGUUACUUUGAAAAAUUAGAGUGUUUAAAGCAGGCUCACGCUUGAAUACAUUAGCAUGGAAUAAUGAAAUAGGACGUUUGAUUCUAUUUUGUUGGUUUCUAGGAUCGACGUAAUGAUUAAUAGGGAUAGUUGGGGGCAUUAGUAUUCAAUUGUCAGAGGUGAAAUUCUUGGAUUUAUUGAAGACUAACUACUGCGAAAGCAUUUGCCAAGGAUGUUUUCAUUAAUCAAGAACGAAAGUUAGGGGAUCGAAGACGAUCAGAUACCGUCGUAGUCUUAACCAUAAACUAUGCCGACUAGGGAUCGGAUGAUGUAAUUUUUAAUGUACUCAUU